AUGUGUGUUUGUGUGUGUGUGUAUAUAUGUGUGUAUAUAUAUAUAUACACACACACACACACACACACACACACACACACGCACCCUAUAU
rnacentral:miRNA from 1 species